AGAACGAACGCUGGCGGCAUGCCUAACACAUGCAAGUCGAACGCUUCCGGGGCUUCGGUCGCGGAGGAGUGGCGCACGGGUGAGUAGCGCGUGGGAACCUGCCCUGUUGUGGGGGAUAACCGAGGGAAACUUCGGCUAAUACCGCAUACGCCCCGGGACUUGGUCUUCGGAUUAGGUCUGGGGGGAAAGAUUGAUCGCAGCAGGAGGGGCCCGCGUCGGAUUAGCUGGUUGGUGGGGUAACGGCUCACCAAGGCGAUGAUCCGUAGCUGGUCUGAGAGGAUGAUCAGCCACACUGGGACUGAGACACGGCCCAGACUCCUACGGGAGGCAGCAGUGGGGAAUAUUGGACAAUGGGCGAAAGCCUGAUCCAGCAAUGCCGCGUGUGUGAAGAAGGUCUUCUGAUUGUAAAGCACUUUCGACGGGGACGAUGAUGACGGUACCCGUAGAAGAAGCCCGGCUAACUUCGUGCGAGCAGCCGCGGU
rnacentral:rRNA from 1 species